rnacentral:rRNA from 1 species
GUCUAUGGCCAUGCCACUCUGAACGUGCCCGAUCUCGUCUGAUCUCGGAAGCUAAGCAGGGUCAGGCAUGUUUAGUACUUGGAUGGGAGAUCACCUAGGAAGACCAGGUGCUGUAGGCG